CUGAUAGUCCUGCCUCUCCAGAUCUGGGACUCUGCCAUCAGGGAGGCCAAGGACGAGGUGGGACUCCGCAGGGACCAGCUGGAGGACUUCAGCUGCCUGGGACUCACCGCCAACACCGAGGAGGGAGGCAGACCGUCGCUCGAGUUCUUCGCGCGGUUGAGUCUCACGGCAGCCGAGGUCAAGGAGCUGCACGCCUCAGGAAACCAGGUCGAGGCUGACGAACUGACGAGCCUCUGCAUGUUGCCACUGGGUCAGUGAGGGCCUUGGUUGACUCUUGCUCAAGGGAAAAGUCAGAUCACUCAGAGUCUGCUUGUUAUGACGUCACAGGCGAGGAGGAACCCCGAGCUAUGUUAAAGGAAAUGACGUCAGCACUGAAAGGAGCUCUCCUAUUGGCUCAUCACCACGAGAUGAUCCCUGCUGAAAGGUCAUGAAAGGUCAACUUAAAAAGAAAUUAAAAGAUCUGUUAAAUGCUUUAAAGGUCGUUAGAGGUUAAAAUGUUAACUAAGAAAAUAAAAAAAAUCUUUAAAUGUUCACUGGAGGUUAAAAUGUUAACUAAGAAAAUAAAAAAAAAGAUUUAAAUGU